UACAGAGGUCUCGAGCGUUAGGCGGAAUCACUGGGCUUAAAGCGUGUGUAGGCGGAUCGGCAAGUACCUUGUGAAAUCCCACAGCUUAACUGUGGAACUGCUCGGUAUACUGCCAGUCUUGAGCCAGCUAGGGGCUACCGGAACAAAUGGUGGAGCGGUGAAAUGCGUAGAUAUCAUUUGGAACGCCAAUGGUGAAAACAGGUAGCUGGGGCUGUGCUGACGCUGAGACACGAAAGCCAGGGGAGCAAACGGG
rnacentral:rRNA from 1 species